rnacentral:rRNA from 1 species
UACGGGGGGAGCAAGCGUUGUUCGGAUUUACUGGGCGUAAAGGGCGCGUAGGCGGCCACCGCAGGUCGACUGUGAAAUCUCCGGGCUUAACCCGGAAAGGUCAGCCGAUACUGCGGGGCUAGAGUGCAGAAGGGGCAACUGGAAUUCUCGGUGUAGCGGUGAAAUGCGUAGAUAUCGAGAGGAACAUCAGUGGCGAAGGCGGCUGCCUGGCCCAAUACUGACACUCAGGUGCGACAGCGUGGGGAGCAAACAGG